UGUUGUCAACAUUGUCCCGAUAUAUAGGGAAUUACGAAUUGUGAAUUGAUCCCUAUAAAAGAAUCGAUUCACUUCAUAACUCCCUAAUCCUUUCAUAACAUUAUCAUCUUAAUUUGACGCGUCGCUGUACUGUAUUAUUCGGGGACUAAAGUGUGCAUUUGUGCGCUGUGGUGAUCUUUCAGAGACUGUACCGACUGGAAUUUAGCGACCACUGUCCGUUUUAGAGACCGUACGGUCGGCGGCGGGCGUCCCGAUCCUCGCCUGGGGCGGAGAGGGGAGCGCGCGUCCCCCUCCGCCGCAUUCCGUCCGUCCCAUUCACUGCCCGCUCGCGAUGUGCGGAGAGCCGACGGGAGUGUCGAGUGUGUGCCGUGCGGUGUCAUCUGCCGUCUCCUCUUCCGACCUGAAGGAACGCAGGAUGCGAGGAUCGUCGGGCGACACCACCACUCGAGAUUCGUAGAUCGAUGGACGGAGCGGCAGCCGCGACGCGACGACGUGUGUCGUAAUGUGACGGGAUGUGACCCGGAAAUGGCUGUGUAUUUAUCCCAGAAAUACAUUUAUUCCGAA
rnacentral:lncRNA from 1 species